UCCCUGCUCGAGAUCGAUGUUGACGGGUGUCACCUGAGAAUUCCAGAUCCUUUAGAGCUCAGAGAAGGUUGGGAGAAUGAGUCGACAGCAGCAAAUAAAUGGCCACCCUGCAUGUACAUAGAUAUCAAUAAUUAUCUGAUUAGCAAGGACGAGCAAAACUUGCUAACGACUACAAAGUCGGCACGAUGUUCUGAAUCUUUUCUUUCAGUAGGAAAUGUGACGAGUAUAUAAAGCAGGUCACAUAUACAGCGCGAGGUUCCUUUAUUGCACUCGUGAAUAGGGCAAAAUUCUUCCAUCCACUUCUUUAGCCCACGGGUACCGUUGUGGCAGUCCCGCACUGAACAAUGGGACCUGGCAUAUUGCCUUAAAAAGACUUUAAGCAGUGUAAACACUUAAUAGUCGCUACAAAUAGCAGGUCGUUCCACUGCGAUAGUAUCGCUUUAUCGAGCUUUGUUGAUAACGUAGUGUGGGAUGAACUCUGACCCGGAAGCUAUUGAGGGAUAAACGCGCAUGCGUACUGAUAAUUCCGAUUUGGCUUAUUCAUUCUGUGCUAUUUUUCAAUGAGUCAGUGAGUGACCGGUGACUGGCUGCUGCAGCCAAUGAUGCGAUUCACAUACGUAUUUACCAUAGACUGUAUAUAAUGGUAUUUACGCAGCUAAUCAACGUCAGGCGUCCUUAUGUGCAGCUACCGUUGUUCUCAUAGAUAUGAAUGAGUCGAUAGGACACGCCCCUUUGAGCUACGUGCUACAGCGAGGCUAAGCUAGUGGGGGAAAAGUUUCAGUGCAUUCUGUUGAUGUAGACGGCGUGAAAACGGAAACAACAAGUAUGCCGGCUCACUGUGCUGCAUACAAUUACACUACGUCAUACGAUUGAGACAAGGAAACUUGGAAUGACUUUUCAUAGGUCCCUCUCUAUCUCCCCACACAUCCACCAACCACUGGAACACAUCUCCAAAGUUCUGCUGGACCAGCUCAGCUUCCCCUCAGAAGAAGUGCCGCCACCGACCAGAUGAAGGAGCCUUUUGAGAGGCAGCUGGCAUCGUGAUUGGACUGUACUUUGGUCUGUUCCAAUCCAGCUUCAGCUCCAGAGACAGCAGGCGGGACGAGUCAACGGAGGCCUGGUGGACGAAGGCAUGCAGCUGAGUACAAUCCAGAAAACAACAGAGGAGGAGUGCAGCAGCCAGAACAACCACAGUAGCAUCAUAUGUCUCUUAGAAAACAUCAUAGUAUAGCCUUUGGUAUGAAAAAACGCCAUCAUAUACAUCGUAUAUUGUACAAAUAACAAGUCAAAGGAAAGAGACAUACAUUGUAGAAUUGUAGUAAUUGUGGGCUGACUGAUUUACUGAUUAUCAGUAUUUUAUUUUUUACUGAUUUAUGGUAAUAAAUAAAUUUUAAAAUGGCGCUACUUUGGCUCUGAACCUUUAUCUACCUGUGGUCACUCUGUCUUCUGGAGUGAUUUGAUUGGUUAUACGUCAUGAAUAAAACUCCUUUAACUUAACAUCUGUAAACAAAACAAAAACGUAUCAACAAAGUUUUCUGUUAGAGUUCGUGUUCUUCGAAGUUUAACUCCAAGAUUUUAAAUACUUUCAUUUACUGCAAAUGAAUAUCUACUCCAAAUGUCUCACUAAUAAUCAUUAUCAGCCUUAAAAACCCACAAAACACCCCUCUAUACUCGACCACACUUAGUACAGUCCGGUUCCCCCUUCUAUAAAUCUGCUUG
ensembl:lncRNA